CUACGGGUGGUUCCAGUGAGGAAUUUUGCGCAAUGGGGGGAACCCUGACGCAGCAACGCCGUGUGAGUGAAGAAGGCCUUUGGGUCGUAAAGCUCUGUCAACUGGGAAGAAGUUACUAUGCUUAAAUAGAGUGUAGUAUUGACGGUACCAGUGGAGGAAGCGUCGGCUAACUCCGUGCCAGCAGCCGCGGUAACACGGGGGACGCAAGCGUUAUUCGGAAUUAUUGGGCGUAAAGGGCGCGUAGGCGGUCUUGUCGGUCAGGUGUGAAAGCCCGGGGCUCAACCCCGGACGUGCACUUGAAACAGCAAGACUUGAGUACGGGAGAGGAAAGCGGAAUUCCUGGUGUAGAGGUGAAAUUCGUAGAUAUCAGGAGGAACACCGAUGGCGAAGGCAGCUUUCUGGACCGAAACUGACGCUGAGGCGCGAAGGCGUGGGUAGCGAACGGGAUUAGAUACCCUGGUAGUC
rnacentral:rRNA from 1 species